AGUAGGAUCUGGAACGUAGGGGAACAUUUAAACUGGGUAUAAGUCAAACAUUAUCUAAACAUGAAUGUUCGGGCUUCAGCUGUGUAGUUCGUCUCUCAACAGAGUCAGGUUUCCAGUUGUAAAGUCAGGCUGUCAGGAGAUGUGGAUGGGCCUGCCUGCCUGAGAACCCGGGUGUCUGUGCUGCAUCGCUGGCCGGUAAGCUGUGCAGUGACCACCAGGAACCUUGGGGAUCGCCAGUGGUACUCCAGUUCCGCUGCUCUCAAGAGGUUGGUGACAGGGUUCAGCGAUCUUCUCCAUUGUAG